rnacentral:rRNA from 1 species
AUUGAACGCUGGCGGUAUGCUUUACACAUGCAAGUCGAACGGCAGCACAGGCUUAGGCUUCUCGGACAGUGGCGAACUGGUGAGCAAUACAUCGGUACGUGCCAAGCUGUGGGGGCUUGCUCGGUGACAGAGGGAUUCUUACCGCAUAACACCAGAGGGCCUAAGGGUGAGAUCAUCGGAUCUUCGGCUCUUGCACCGGUCGAUGGCAGAUUAGCUAGUUGGUGGGGUAAAGGCCUACCAAGGCGACGAUCUGUAGCUGGUCUGAGAGGACGACCAGCCACACUGGAACUGAGACACGGCCCAGACUCCUACGGGAGGCAGCAGUGGGGAAUUUUGGACAAUGGGCGAAAGCCUGAUCCAGCAAUGCCGCGUGGGUGAUGAAGGCCUUCGGGUUGUAAAGCACUUUUGGCGGGAACGAAAAGGACUGUGCCAAUACCACGGUGCGAUGACGGUACCCAAAGAAUAAGCACCGGCUAACUUCGUG